UCACUUAAGUUAAGAAUAUCUGGGUAUUUGGGUGGAUGAUAAACUCUUCGUCUUUUAAACCACACAUAACUGAACUUGUAAAGAAAUUCAAACCAAAAUUGGCAUUCUUUUACAGAAAUAAGUCAUGCUUCACCCAAAGUUGUAGGAAACAGAUUGUUCAAGCUACGUUUCUAUCAGUUUUGGAGUACGGUGAUAUCAUUUAUAUGCAUGCAGCUUCUUCUACAUCAAAGCCACUUGAUGCAGUUUAUCACUCUGCCCUAAGAUUUAUAUCUGGUGAUGGAUUUAGUACCCGCCACUGUCUCCUUUAUCAAAAUGUAGGCUGGACUUCCUUGGCUCUAAGAAGGGAGCAACACUGCAUUCUAUUUAUCUACAAAGCCUUGCUUAAAGAAUUGCCUGUAUAUUUAACAAGCUUGCUGAAUAUGAAAUUGUAUCACUAUGGCACUCACACUAGUGACUACUUGGUCCUAAAUAUUCCAUUUGUUAGGACAGAAUAAGGCAAAACUGCAUUUGAAUAUUAUGCCCCAUAUAAAUGGAAUAGCCUGCAAUUUCUAAUGAAAUUGAACAGCCUAAUUC